AUACGGAGGAUCCGAGCGUUAUCCGGAUUUAUUGGGUUUAAAGGGUGCGCAGGCGGCCAUUUAAGUCAGCGGUUAAAUCGUGGGGCUCAACCCCAUUCUGCCGUUGAUACUGGGUGGCUUGAUUGCGGUCGAGGUUGGCGGAAUUCGUUGUGUAGCGGUGAAAUGCAUAGAUAUGACGAAGAACACCGAUUGCGUAGGCAGCUGACCAGGCCGCAAAUGACGCUCAUGCACGAAAGUGCGGGGAUCGAACAGGAUUAGAUACCCUGGUAGUCCGCACAGUAAACGAUGAAUACUUGUUUUCGGCGUUAUAAUGUCGGAGGCAAGGCGAAAGCGAUAAGUAUUCCACCUGGGGAGUACGCCGGCAACGGUGAAACUCAAAUGAAUUGACGGGG
rnacentral:rRNA from 1 species